CAGUAGCCACGGUAAUACGAAGGGUGCAAGCGUUAAUCGGAAUUACUGGGCGUAAAGCGUGCGUAGGCGGUGAGUUAAGUCUGCUGUGAAAUCCCCGGGCUCAACCUGGGAAUGGCAGUGGAUACUGGCUCGCUAGAGUGUGUCAGAGGAUGGUGGAAUUCCCGGUGUAGCGGUGAAAUGCGUAGAGAUCGGGAGGAACAUCAGUGGCGAAGGCGGCCCUCUGGGACAACACUGACGCUCAUGCACGAAAGCGUGGGGAGCAAACAGGAUUAGAUACCCCCGUAGUCCCUGUCUCUUAUAC
rnacentral:rRNA from 1 species